rnacentral:tRNA from 1 species
UAUGUAGAUAUAAAAUUUAAAUUUUCUAAAUUUAAUUUGAUUAAAAAUCAUGUAU